GGACAACCAAUCUUGUAGCUGAUUAUGUAACUCUGGAGAUGAUGGUCUCAAAAACUAUUGUUGGUGGCUUGAUUGGGAGAUGUGGUUCCAACAUUUUGAGGAUCAGAAGUGAGUCUGGAGCUGCAAUCAAGAGCAGCAGUGUUUCGUAGCAAACUCUUGGAACUAUUUUGUUACUGUUUUGAAGGAAGGGGUAGUUGAUUCUGGUUGCUUGUUGUUUCUUGAUUCAGAAAGAGGGCAAUGUUUGAAGGGCUUGUUCGCCAACUGCUUGUGGGUUAUCUUGGCCAAUACAUUAAAGAUAUAGAAAAGGAACAACUUAGGAUCAGCCUAUGGAAUGAAAAAGUAUUAUUGGAGAAUGUAGAACUAAUUCCUGAAGCUUUUGAUUAUCUCCAGCAGCCGUUUGCCCUAAAGCAAGG